UUAGAAAUCCCGGGAGGGGGGGUGAAAAUUCCAAAAAAAAAAUUCGUGCAAAGGAAAAUGCCUGGAAAAAAAAUUCGUGCAGCCAUUACGUCAGAGAAAAAAAAUUCGUGCAAGCAAACAGCGAAGUACAAAUAGUCUUGAAAAAAAAUUCGUGCAGAGGUUAAAUGCAUUAAAAAAAAUUCCUGCAGAGACACGAGACUGAAAAAAAAAUUCGUGCCGCAAAAAUGUUAUACACCCCCCCCUCCCGGGAUUUCUAAUGGUCCGCCCCUAAUGAAAUGCGACAAAACUGUCACUGUAAUUACCGUUGUAAUGUACAAACGUGUUGUCAGGCAAAAUCUAAAAAUAGCAU